GGAAAUUGGAAAGUGGAAAGAAAGGCAGGGGCUUUCGAGCAUUCAGGCUUCAUUUCGGCUUUCUAUAGUACAGAAUUAGAGAUUUGGAAGCAUCUUAAGGCUGUAGGGAUUGAUGAGGACUGAGGAAUGGGACAAGGGGGACGAAAAGAAUUUGCAAUGUUUAUGAACCAGACCAGAGAUUGAAACAAAUCCAUGACACAUUCCCAGUUCAACCAGCAGGUUGAACAGAUUUACUUCAUUGUGAUAACAGGGACUGCAAAUGGCCAGAAACCAAUCACAAGUCCACAAGCAGCUACUG
rnacentral:misc_RNA from 1 species